AUUGAAUGCUGGCGGCAGGCCUAACACAUGCAAGUCGAACGGUAACAGGAAGCAGCUUGCUGCUUCGCUGACGAGUGGCGGACGGGUGAGUAAUGUCUGGGAAGCUGCCUGAUGGAGGGGGAUAACUACUGGAAACGGUAGCUAAUACCGCAUAAUGUCGCAGGACCAAAGAGGGGGACCUUCGGGCCUCUUGCCAUCGGAUGUGCCCAGAUGGGAUUAGCUUGUUGGUGGGGUAACGGCUCACCAAGGCGACGAUCCCUAGCUGGUCUGAGAGGAUGACCAGCCACACUGGAACUGAGACACGGUCCAGACUCCUACGGGAGGCAGCAGUGGGGAAUAUUGCACAAAGGGCGCAAGCCUGAUGCAGCCAUGCCGCGUGUAUGAAGAAGACCUUCGGGUUGUAAAGUACUUUCAGCGGGGAGGAAGGGAGUAAAGUUAAUACCUUUGCUCAUUGACGUUACCCGCAGAAGAAGCACCGGCUAACUCCGUG
rnacentral:rRNA from 1 species